GCUUUUUGUGCUUUUACUUAAAAAAAAGAAAAGAACUAGAACUGUUUGUUUACUAACGUUGGCAGCUCAAGCCUCAUCCGCACCGCGCCCUUCUGAUAAGUUACCCGUGCAAACAAAGAAUUAGCACAGUUUGCGUUCUGAGCGACGAAACCUGCCUGAAGACAGAUAUGACAUUCAGCUCCUGAGCUCGAGCUCAGUGCGUGCUGCUGAAGUUCAGUAGUGAAAGGUUUCCUGAACGUUACAGAGGGAACUUCCCCAGCGGUCCGAAACGGAUGAAUGGAGCUGCUCUGCUCUCAAAGCCCGAGCACUUCUGGCAUAGGUGGGUUUCUAGCAAACUGAAAACCAAUGCUGAAGCCCCAAACCGCUGUCUAAAAAGAAGCCAGCUUGCUAGGUUUUAAACCAACUCCGUUCAUUGCGUUCCGUCGCUCUGGGGAAGUUCAACGUUUAGGAAACCUCUCGAGACGCAUUCGGGGGACUGGGUGGGUGUUUACUGCAAAAUCGUUCUAGGAGGUCAAGAAACCUUGCUAUGAAUUUAAACGCGAUUUCUAAAGGAAAACAAGAAUGGAUCAAUAACAGUAACGUCAUGCACUGAGAUAAAUAGCGUGGAAACCCAUGUGCACGGUGCGCGCUUUUGUUCAACCCAGAAGCGUCGGGCGGGGGAGGGACGCCUCGUGCAUCCUCCGUGUGCACGAGACUUCAGUGAGAAACAAGCGAGACAGACCUGCAAUUGGAUCCUACACAAGUCAAUCCCACAUGUGGGUGGGCGGUGGAUUCAGAGCUGCACACCCAGUAAAGUUUGUGCAACAAAAGGUUGCGGGAAAGUUGCGCACGAACACGAUUCACACUUACACCUGAACUCUACAUGCGCUAAAAGCGAUCAAGCAAGCUGCCUUUAACACACGAUUGAGCUCAGUUUCAUUCAAGCCACAAUGAUGUCAUACUUGUGGAUUUUCGUCCUUGGAAGUUUAAUCGUGACUGGAGUGAAGAUGCAAGAUUCUCCGGCAGAUGAGCUCGCUCCAGAGGACUCAACCGUUCCUGCUGAAGCUGCAGACGCUGAAGAACCAGCUAAAGAACCAUCACCUGAAGAAACAUCACCUGAAGAAAUAUCACCGGAAGAAACAUCACCGGAAGAAACAUCACCUGAAGAAAUAUCACCGGAAGAACCAGCACCUGAAGAACCAGCACCCGAAGAACCAGCACCUGAAGAACCAGCACCUGGAGAAAUAUCACCUGAAGAAACACCUGAAGACCCAGCGGAGGAUGCUGUGGAUGAGGCAGCAGCUACUGCAGAGCCUGAAGACACCAACCCUGAGUCAGACGCUGCGAUAGAAGAGGCUGAAGAAACACCAGCAGCUGAAGAGAAACCUGCUGAAGCAGAAGCAGAAGAAGCAGCGGCUCCUGAAGCAGAUGACGCCGAUGCAACUAAAACAGAAGCCGAUCCACCUGCUGAAGAUCCUGAACAAGAAAUCAAGCCCGAAGAAGCUCCAGAUGAUGCAGAAACAGAGGAAGCACAAGAGGAAGCAGAAGGAGGGGAAGCAGAAGCAGGUGCAGAGACUGAAGCAGACUUUACUGCUGUACCAGAGGAACCUGUGGACCCUGAAGGGGCUGUGGAAGAUAUGUCUGCAGAAUUCGAUCUUUCUGAUGCGUUCGAAGAGAAAGCACAACCACAGGAUCCAGUAAAGACAAAAAUGGGAGAUGCAGACCAGCACAGCGCAGGUCAAGGCAGAGCUCGCAGUGCUGGAGCAGUUUCUGAGCCGAACGACAGUGGAUCUGGUACGGUUGUUGGUGUUGUUUGUGGGAUUGCAGUAGCAGCUGUUGGUGCCAUAAUCGGAUACUUCACCUACCAGAAGAAGAAACUGUGCUUCAAGGUCCAGAGAGGUGAUCCAGAGAGUGCCAAAGAAGAGAACGGCACACAGAACCCUGAGGUUUUAAGCACCCUCCUGAAGUCAUCUGAACACGCCCCUGCAGCCGGCAGUGAACUUGCGUGAAGCUACUGUGAACUGCUUUACAUGGGAGCAGGACGUUGUAACUACCCACAUCUUGAGAACCGGAUGAACUUCACAAACACAUUCACAGUACAGAAAGUCAGCACAAAUAUCAUUUCUACACUCACUCUGAGUUCCUGACGCACAUUAAGUCCUUUUUCAUAAUAUCUCAUCUUCCUACUGCUUCGACUACAGUUCUAAACUAGCACAUAGGACUGUUAAUAAUACAUGUUUUGAAUGUAAUUUCACAUCGUUUGAGUGGAACGGGAUGUGUGCGUGUAUGCAUGUGUAAUUCGACAGCCUUUUGGUAGAGGCAUUUCAUUUCGUUACUUUAAAAAAUGUCGUUUGGUUUCAUUACUGUGUCAUUGAUCGCAGUUUUGUUUGAUGUCAAAUUGUUGCCUCUGAUUCAUAAAAGAGCAAAUCUCACAAUGUGGAAUGAUUCAAAUUGUAUUGUCUGACCAAACAGAAUUCAUAGGAAUUUUUCUUUCUAUUUUUUGUUUUGUUUUAAAAUUCUGUAAAUAAUUGUUGCGUUUGAAUAAAGAGUGGUUACAUUUAAAAGACGUUACACAUUUAAUUGCACAGUUUCAUAAUGCAACGAAAAAAAAAAAACAGAA
ensembl:lncRNA